CUUCAGCGAGCCGAGCAGCAGCGGCUGGUCGCCGGUGCGUUCCCGCCCGUAGGUGGCGAGGAUGGCCUGCGCCUC
rnacentral:antisense_RNA from 1 species